rnacentral:rRNA from 1 species
CAGCAGUCGCCGCGGUAACACGAAGGGUGCAAGCGUUACUCGGAAUUACUGGGCGUAAAGGGCGCGUAGGCGGUUUUGACAGUCAGAUGUGAAAUUCCUGGGCUUAACCUGGGGGCUGCAUUUGAGACGUCAAGACUAGAGUGUGAGAGAGGGUUGUGGAAUUCCCAGUGUAGAGGUGAAAUUCGUAGAUAUUGGGAAGAACACCGGUGGCGAAGGCGGCAACCUGGCUCAUUACUGACGCUGAGGCGCGAAAGCGUGGGGAGCAAACAGGAUUAGAUACCCCCGUAGUCCCUGUCUCUUAUAA